AUGAACGCUAGCGGGAGGCUUAACACAUGCAAGCCGAGGGGUAUAGUUCUUUCGGGAACUAGAGACCGGCGCACGGGUGCGUAACGCGUAUGCAACUUGCCCUACUGAAAAGGAUAGCCCUUCGAAAGGAGGAUUAAUACUUUAUAACAGAUUUAAUGGCAUCAUUAGAUUUUGAAAGAUUUAUCGCAGUAGGAUAGGCAUGCGUAAGAUUAGUUAGUUGGUGAGGUAACGGCUCACCAAGACGAUGAUCUUUAGGGGGCCUGAGAGGGUGAACCCCCACACUGGUACUGAGACACGGACCAGACUCCUACGGGAGGCAGCAGUGAGGAAGAUUGGACAAUGGGUGGAAGCCUGAUCCAGCCAUCCCGCGUGUAGGAUGACGGCCUUAUGGGUUGUAAACUACUUUUAUCUGGGGAUAAACCUACUUACGUGUAAGUAGCUGAAGGUACCAGAAGAAUAAGCACCGGCUAACUCCGUG
rnacentral:rRNA from 1 species